rnacentral:rRNA from 1 species
AGAAUGAACGUUGGCGGCGUGGAUUAGGCAUGCAAGUCGUACGGGCCGCAAGGCCAGUGGCGCAAGGGUGAGUAAGGCGACGGUAACCAACCCCAUGACUGGGUAUAGCCGCGGGAAACUGCGGGUAAUCCCCAGCGACGUCCCGGGGGGGCAUCCCCUGGGGACCAAAGCUCCGGCGUCGUGGGACGGGCCGUCGUGGUAUUAGGUUGUUGGCGGGGUAAUGGCCCACCAAGCCUGCGAUGCCUACCGGGCGUGCGAGCGUGGCCCGGCACACUGGGACUGAGACACUGCCCAGACUCCUACGGGAGGCUGCAGUCGAGAAUCUUCGGCAAUGGGCGCAAGCCUGACCGAGCGACGCCGCGUGGAGGAUGGAAGGCCUUCGGGUUGUAAACUCCUGUCGGAGGGGGAAGAAGGGUCGAAAGACCUUGACUUAUCCCUGGAGGAAGCACGGGCUAAGUUCGUGCCAGCAGCCGC